rnacentral:rRNA from 1 species
GAUGAACGCUGGCGGCGUGCCUAAUACAUGCAAGUCGAGCGAACAGACGAGGAGCUUGCUCCUCUGACGUUAGCGGCGGACGGGUGAGUAACACGUGGAUAACCUACCUAUAAGACUGGGAUAACUUCGGGAAACCGGAGCUAAUACCGGAUAAUAUAUUGAACCGCAUGGUUCAAUAGUGAAAGACGGUUUUCCUGUCACUUAUAGAUGGAUCCGCGCCGCAUUAGCUAGUUGGUAAGGUAACGGCUUACCAAGGCAACGAUGCGUAGCCGACCUGAGAGGGUGAUCGGCCACACUGGAACUGAGACACGGUCCAGACUCCUACGGGAGGCAGCAGUAGGGAAUCUUCCGCAAAGGGCGAAAGCCUGACGGAGCAACGCCGCGUGAGUGAUGAAGGUCUUCGGAUCGUAAAACUCUGUUAUUAGGGAAGAACAAAUGUGUAAGUAACUAUGCACGUCUUGACGGUACCUAAUCGGAAAGCCACGGCUAACUACGUG